rnacentral:rRNA from 1 species
AUUGAACGCUGGCGGCAUGCUUUACACAUGCAAGUCGAACGGCAGCGCGGGGCAACCUGGCGGCGAGUGGCGAACGGGUGAGUAAUACAUCGGAACGUACCCAGAAGUGGGGGAUAACGUAGCGAAAGUUACGCUAAUACCGCAUACGUUCUACGGAAGAAAGUGGGGGACCGCAAGGCCUCAUGCUUUUGGAGCGGCCGAUGUCUGAUUAGCUAGUUGGUAGGGUAAAGGCCUACCAAGGCGACGAUCAGUAGCUGGUCUGAGAGGACGACCAGCCACACUGGGACUGAGACACGGCCCAGACUCCUACGGGAGGCAGCAGUGGGGAAUUUUGGACAAUGGGCGCAAGCCUGAUCCAGCAAUGCCGCGUGAGUGAAGAAGGCCUUCGGGUUGCAAAGCUCUUUUGUCAGGGAAGAAACGGCUGAGGAUAAUACCUUUGGCUAAUGACGGUACCUGAAGAAUAAGCACCGGCUAACUACGUGCCAGCCGCCGCCGCGG